rnacentral:tRNA from 1 species
GCUGGGAUAGCUCAGAUGGUAGAGCAUGAGACUCUUAAUCUCUGGGUCGUGAGUUCAAGCCCCACAUUGGGCA